rnacentral:rRNA from 1 species
GAUCAUGGCUCAGGACGAACGCUGGCGGCGCGCCUAACACAUGCAAGUCGAACGGAAUCAAGAGGAGCUUGCUUUUCUUGAUUUAGUGGCGAACGGGUGAGUAACGCGUGAGUAACCUGCCCUGGAGUGGGGGACAACAGUUGGAAACGAUUGCUAAUACCGCAUAAGCCCACGGUGCUGCAUGGCACUGCGGGAAAAGGAUUUAUUCGCUCUAGGAUGGACUCGCGUCCAAUUAG